rnacentral:rRNA from 1 species
GACGAACGCUGGCGGCGUGCUUAACACAUGCAAGUCGAACGGAAAGGCCCUGCUUUUGUGGGGUUCUCGAGUGGCGAACGGGUGAGUAACACGUGAGUAACCUGCCCUUGACUUUGGGAUAACUUCAGGAAACUGGGGCUAAUACCGGAUAGGAGCUCCUGCUGCAUGGUGGGGGUUGGAAAGUUUCGGCGGUUGGGGAUGGACUCGCUGAUUAUCAGCUGGUUGGUGGGGUAGUGGCUGACCAAGGUUUUGACGGCUAGCCGGCAUGAGAGGGGGACCGGCGACAUGGGGACUGCGAUACGGCCCAGACUCCUACGUGAGGCAGCAGUGGGGAAUAUUGCACAAUGGGCGGACGCGUGAUGCAGCAACGCCGCGUGCGGGAUGACGUCCUUCGGGUUGUAAACCGAUUUCGCCUGUGACGAAGCGUGAGUGACGGUAAUGGGUAAAGAAGCACCGGCUAACUACGUG